AGAGUUUGAUCCUGGCUCAGGAUGAACGCUGGCGGCGUGCUUAACACAUGCAAGUCGAACGGACCCAUUCUUCGGAAGGGGUUAGUGGCAGACGGGUGCGUAACACGUAGGUGACCUGCCCUGAAGUGGGGAAUAAUUCCGCCAACGCGGAACUAAUACCGCAUGUGCUCGGUGAUUCAGUUCGCCGAGUAAAGUCGUAAGACGCUUCGGGAUGGGCCUGCGGCGGAUUAGGUAGUUGGUGGGGUAAUGGCCUACCAAGCCGAUGAUCCGUAGGGGGCGUGAGAGCGUGACCCCCCACACUGGCACUGAGACACGGGCCAGACUCCUACGGGAGGCAGCAGUGAGGAAUAUUGCACAAUGGGCGAAAGCCUGAUGCAGCAACGCCGCGUGCGCGAAGAAGGCCUUCGGGUUGUAAAGCGCUUUUUGGGGAGAUGAGGAAGGACAGUAUCCCCAGAAUAAGGCUCGGCUAACUACGUGCCAGCAGCCGCGGUAAAACGUAGGAGCCAAGCGUUAUCCGAAUUCACUGGGCGUAAAGCGCGUGCAGGCGGCUCGGUAAGUUGGAUGUGAAAGCUCCUGGCUCAACUGGGAGAGGACGUUCAAUACUGUCGGGCUAGAGGACGGUAGAGGGAGGUGGAAUUCCCGGUGUAGUGGUGAAAUGCGUAGAUAUCGGGAGGAACACCAGUGGCGAAGGCGGCCUCCUGGGCCGUUCCUGACGCUCAGACGCGAAAGCUAGGGGAGCGAACGGGAUUAGAAACCCCGGUAGUCCUAGCUGUAAACGAUGUAGACUUGGCGUCGGUGGUGUAAAAGCCAUCGGUGCCGAAGCAAACGCGAUAAGUCUACCGCCUGGGGACUACGGCCGCAAGGUUAAAACUCAAAGGAAUUGACGG
rnacentral:rRNA from 1 species